UUUUUAAAAAAAAUUCUAAUCAGCAGGAACAAAAAUUUGAAUCCAUGGGCCCAGUGAAGAAUUUAACCUCUGGUUUUAACUGAUGGAGGUCUAGUGACUGAUGAACAGUUUUGGCUCCAAGAUAUUUUCUGAAAUAAAGGAAUGGAAGAAUGGAGCAACCCAAAUUUAUUACUGAUCAAUCUGUCAAGUGAAACAAUAAAAUCAAAACUGGUCUGAUCAAGCAGGGCAAGAUUUUUCCACCUCUCUUUCUUGGCAGAGGUCUCCGAAGUCUUCAGCAGAUCAUAAGGUUUUAGAUGAUUCAUCAACCCCAAAC